rnacentral:sRNA from 1 species
GUGAUCUUGGACGUCACUUACAUUCUCUGCCUCACCUGUAACUUUAGAAUACUCAUCUCCUCAUAGGGUUUAAUAUGAGGCUUUAUCAAGAUAAGUGCAGAAUAUGUUUGGUAUGCAGCAUUUCACGAAUGUUAGCUAUUACCACUCUAGGCAUGGCCAGGAGUAGAGGGGAAAAUACAAAAUAAAAUUGUCCUCCCUUGUUUUUGCAGAAUAAAUCCACCAGUACCCCAACUUCUCCGGGACCCCGGACUCAUUCAACUCCCUCCAUCCCGGUGCUGACAGCAGGCCAGAGUGGGCUAUACAGCCCCCAGUACAUCUCCUACAUACCUCAGAUCCACAUGGGACCAGCUGUGCAGGCACCUCAGAUGUAUCCAUAUCCUGUAUCCAAUUCAGUGCCUGGGCAGCAGGGCAAGUACCGGGGAGCAAAAGGCUCCCUUCCUCCGCAGCGCUCGGACCAACACCAGCCAGCCUCAGCCCCGCCGAUGAUGCAGGCCGCCGCGGCUGCUGGCCCGCCUCUGGUGGCUGCCACGCCCUAUUCUUCCUACAUCCCCUACAACCCUCAGCAGUUCCCAGGCCAGCCGGCCAUGAUGCAGCCCAUGGCCCACUACCCCUCACAGCCGGUGUUUGCCCCCAUGCUUCAGAGCAACCCACGCAUGCUGACGUCGGGCAGCCAUCCCCAGGCCAUCGUGUCAUCCUCUACCCCUCAGUACCCUUCUGCAGAGCAGCCUACCCCCCAAGCCCUUUAUGCCACUGUUCACCAGUCCUACCCACACCAUGCCACACAGC